GGCGAACCGUGCGAACGUUGUUCGGAUUCACUGGGCUUAAAGGGCGCGUAGGCGGGCGACCAAGUCAGGGGUGAAAUCUUUCGGCCCAACCGGAAAAGUGCCCCUGAUACUGGCCGCCUCGAGGGGGGUAGGGGCAUGCGGAACUUCCGGUGGAGCGGUGAAAUGCGUAGAUAUCGGAAGGAACGCCGGUGGCGAAAGCGGCGUGCUGGACCCCUUCUGACGCUGAGGCGCGAAAGCCAGGGGAGCAAACGGG
rnacentral:rRNA from 1 species